rnacentral:sRNA from 1 species
AAAUUUUGUGUGAGUCUGCGGAUGUAGGAGUUGAUAAAGAGACUUGAAUAAGGUAAGCUUUCGUGAUGAAUUGGUAAAUCAUUUUCUAGAUUCUGAACCUUGACUUAUACUGAAACUCACGCCAUAAAAAGCACAAAUUCAACGUAUUAAGUGAAUAAGGUUUGAACUAAUAAUCCUUGAACAAUGGCUGGUGGAGUUGCACUGAGAGGUAAGAUAAUAUGAGCCGAGGAAACAACCAAAUGACGACAGGGAGGAUUCUGAUUUCAAGAUGAAGGAUUGCUUCCUCGGCUGCAAAGACGGUUUGACGACCACCAUUUAAUACAAGGUUUGAACUGGUGAUCUUUUCUCUCCAAGACUAUUCCCUUGGGAAGGUAUUUCUAAUUACCAGAUAAAGUCCAUGUAAGUCAUUCAGUUUAACCAGACAAUAACUAAUUCCCUCUCUGAUAAUUCUGCUGAUCAGCUUCUUUUUGUUUUUCUUGAUGCGAGAAUGAAUCUUAGUUCAAGUGGGUUACAAGGACCAAUAGCCUUUUCCUUUAGAGAUCUCUCCCUCCUCGAGUUAUCGUAAGUGUACAAAUGCAAGCCAUACAAACACACACUUUCCAAGAGCUUUCUUCAGUUGAAAUGGAACUUAUUGACAAACGGUUUGAAGAUGAAGGAUUGUUUGGCUGCAAAGAAAAUCAUUCAGUAGCCAACAAAGAAAUAACUUUGUGUGAAUCUGCUGAUGUAUCUAUUAAGGAGUUGAUAAAGAGACUUAAUGAAGGUAAGCUUUUGUAACGAAUUGGUAAGAGACAACUGAAAUUUUCCUAGCUUGCUUUCGGUUAGUUUCUUAAUGUGCUACGACAUGUUUAGGCCCAAAGUCUUGGCGUUGAGAACUUGAUGAUGAUAGAUAUUAUAAACUUGCAAAUAUUUGCAUUAUAUAUUCAGAAAACGAGAAGCAGGUAUUUAUCAUUUCUAUCUAGUAAUAAUUUAUAGUCCCCAAGUCACUAUAAGUCCUUGUUUUUCAUUUUUAGAUUGGGUAUGAAUUCAAUGGAGGCCAAUGCAAUGGAAAAGCUCCGACGUUUUCUUUAUGAUAUGAUUAACAAUGAUAGAGUCAUGUUCCGUUCCCAAAGUACUUGUUUUAUAAAUUGACUUUUUAAGGAUUCCUGUUUCACUGAUCAAGUGUUUUUUUACAGAAUCUCGCUUCGUUUUUUUCCUAUCUUGCUUUCCAUUAGUUUCUAAAAGUGCUUUCAGUCCAAUGUCUUGGCGUUGAGAACUCGAUGAUGCGAAAAAAGAGAAGCAUGUAUUUAUCAUUUCUAUCUGUUCACACCAUCGAAAGGAUAAAACCAAUGUAUAAAGUCAAUAAGGUUUGGACUGGUGAUCCUUGCUCUCCAAGACUAUUCUUUUGAAAGGAAUUCUACUGAUGAGCUUAGUUCAAGUGGAUUACAAGGACCAAUAGCUGUCUCAUUUAGAAAUCUCUCCCUUUUUGAGUCAUUGGAUUCAUAAAACAACAACCUAAGAAAGGGAUUUCUUUUGACAGACAUUUGAUAAUGUAUUUGUCUCUGACAUUUAUUUGUGUCACAUGAAUUUGAAAGGAAAUUACUUGACUGGGUUUGCCCCAAGAUCUCAUAGGAAAAAAACAAUGGCUAGUGAACUUGCACAGAGAGGUACAUUUUCUUGUCAAAACCUCGGUACCAUAGUCAUCUUCUUAAGACAAUCUUUGUCUGUACCAUUUUCUGUAGCUUCUUAAUUUUCUCUCUGUUUCCAGUGUAGAUGAAUAGAGCAUUUUUCACCCAUGUUCAGAUUCGUCGUGUGCCAAA